rnacentral:rRNA from 1 species
AUUGAACGCUGGCGGCAUGGCUAAAACAUGCAAGUCGAACGGACCCGCAAGGGUUAGUGGCGGAAGGGUGAGUAACAGUAUCGAACGUACCCCGAGGUGUGGGAUAGGCAUGGGAAACUGUGCGUAAUACCACAUGAUCUCGAGAGAGCAAAGCCCGCCCCUUAGAAGGGUGGGCGCCUUGGGAGCGGCGAUAUUCCUAUCAGGUAGUUGGCGGGGUAAAGGCCCACCAAGCCGAAGACGGGUAGCCGGUGUGAGAGCACGGCCGGCCACAUCGAGACUGAGACACGGCCCAGACUCCUACGGGAGGCAGCAGGUGGGGAAUAUUGCACAAUGGGCGCAAGCCUGAUGCAGCGACGCCGCGUGAGGGAUGACGGCCUUCGGUUGUAACC